AAAAAGAGCACCAGCGGCUCUUUUCUUCAUCUUCUCGUCCAGAAUGAAGUCGCAAGCUAUGAUAGUUCAUACGAUCCGAUGUUUUGGCCAAAUUACAAAUAAUUGAUGGUUUGCAUGACAGAAUUGGACGAUUUUUACCAAAAGGUUUGGAGAACCUAUUAGGGCUUUCAUGAGCCAUGAAGCAACUUCAGUGGAAGAGGCUUCUUCAAAGACAGAACUUAAACUAUAGAGUUAGUAUCGGUAUAGUGCAGUACUUCUUAUAACUGAUAAGGCGUUAUUGACUAACCACAUAGGUUUCUUCUUCAUUAAUUUUCACAUGUGCUUAGAUACCAAGUCACAAAAGUUAUAAGCACUAACUUGCUCCUCUGCUUUAGUCACUUUCUUAAUAUCAACAAGUAGACACGCUUAAGCAGCAUUA